UACGUAGGGUGCGAGCGUUGUCCGGAAUUACUGGGCGUAAAGAGCUCGUAGGUGGUUUGUCGCGUUGUUCGUGAAAACUCACAGCUUAACUGUGGGCGUGCGGGCGAUACGGGGCAGACUGGAGUACUGCAGGGGAGACUGGAAUUCCUGGUGUAGCGGUGGAAUGCGCAGAUAUCAGGAGGAACACCGGUGGCGAAGGCGGGUCUCUGGGCAGUAACUGACGCUGGAGGAGCGAAAAGCGUGGGGAGCGAACAGG
rnacentral:rRNA from 1 species